GCCCUUGAGUUUGAUCCUGGCUCAGAUUGAACGCUGGCGGCAUGCCUUACACAUGCAAGUCGAACGGUAACAGGUCUUCGGAUGCUGACGAGUGGCGAACGGGUGAGUAAUACAUCGGAACGUGCCCGAUCGUGGGGGAUAACUACUCGAAAGAGUGGCUAAUACCGCAUACGAUCUACGGAUGAAAGCAGGGGACCCGCAAGGGCCUUGCGCGGACGGAGCGGCCGAUGGCAGAUUAGGUAGUUGGUGGGAUAAAAGCUUACCAAGCCGACGAUCUGUAGCUGGUCUGAGAGGACGACCAGCCACACUGGGACUGAGACACGGCCCAGACUCCUACGGGAGGCAGCAGUGGGGAAUUUUGGACAAUGGGGGCAACCCUGAUCCAGCCAUUCCGCGUGAGUGAAGAAGGCCUUCGGGUUGUAAAGCUCUUUCAGCUGGAACGAAACGGUACGCUCUAACAUAGCGUGCUAAUGACGGUACCAGCAGAAGAAGCACCGGCUAACUACGUGCCAGCAGCCGCGGUAAUACGUAGGGUGCGAGCGUUAAUCGGAAUUACUGGGCGUAAAGCGUGCGCAGGCGGAUUGUUAAGCAAGACGUGAAAUCCCCGGGCUUAACCUGGGAAUGGCGUUUUGAACUGGCAGUCUAGAGUGUGUCAGAGGGGGGUAGAAUUCCACGUGUAGCAGUGAAAUGCGUAGAGAUGUGGAGGAAUACCAAUGGCGAAGGCAGCCCCCUGGGAUAACACUGACGCUCAUGUACGAAAGCGUGGGUAGCAAACAGGAUUAGAUACCCUGGUAGUCCACGCCCUAAACGAUGUCAACUGGUUGUUGGGGGAGUGAAAUCCCUUAGUAACGAAGCUAACGCGUGAAGUU
rnacentral:rRNA from 1 species